ensembl:lncRNA novel transcript
AAAAGGCCGGCGUGUGGGGCGGGCCUGGGGAAGGGACUCCCGCGGCCCUAAGGUGCUGGCGGGCGUUUGGCGUUGCAGCUGUGUGGGCGCUGGUGCGUGCGAGUAGCGCUCGAAGAAACCCAAAGGCGUCGUGGGGCUGCCGUGUGCCCCAGAGAGCACUGCAGGCCGGGUAGGGGCUAAGGCUCCCCGCAGUCUUCUGUGUGUCGUCCAGUACGCAGUUGAAAUCGUUCUCCAACCUGGCCAGUCCUCCGAGGCCCUUCUCAGGCGACCAGACUCUGUUAACAGAGUCCAUUGCUAAAACUCCUCGUUAGUAUUUACCACUCCUCCAGUCUGUGUUUUGAAGCAGUGGUUUUCAACCACUGCCCGUUUUCAGAAGAAAUCAUCUCAAGCGUCCGUGUGCUGCUAGAAGCCGGGCCGGGAGGUCUUGGUGCCGGACUCCACCCUGCAGCCCUUCCCUUUCGCCACCGCCCUGUGCUUAGAGAAACCUUAGAGUGGAGCAAUGAGUCGCCCUUGACUGAGUAACUCUUCGGGGUCAACUUCUCCUUCCACGCCAAGGAAAGGAUUCCAGGGCGAUGUUUCUGGAAAUAGAGAUCUGACCAAGCCACUGCUCUGGUCCCGUGUUUCUGAGAGUCUCUUUCAGAGCAAUGCAAACCUGAAACUACUCCUGCCAAGAAACGAUUGCAGCUCUUCCCGGAAAAGUUAAAGCCUUUGAGAAACAAAGCUGAGGUUGAAAGUAUUAGUCCAUUUUAUAGAUGAAGAAAUGGAGGCCCAGAGAGAUCACGUGACUUAGCCAAGUCCACCAAGGCCUAGGGGAUGCCAAAUUCCAGGGUCCAGAAAGAGCUUGGGAUAAAAUGAACAUCCAAGGGGAGGGCUUUGACCUGGGCUGAGUCUGCCUGUGCCGAGUCUGCCUGUGCCAUCCAACUGGAGUCUCAAGUCCUGAGGCAGGACGUCCAGAUGCCCCAGUGCAGGGUCCUCCUGAUCAACACCUGCUCCCCUGUACUCAUUAGCAACCUCACCCACCCUACUCUCAAAGCACACUUGGCUCUCAUAUCCAGGAGCUCUGCAUCUGUAGAUUCAGCAACAGCAGAUGGAAAAUAUUCAGAAAAUAAAUUGGACAGUU